ACUGCGUGUAACCGGGUGUCGCGGCGCAGGGCACCGGCAGUCAGCUAUGGAGUGGACUUGACUAUGAGGUUCCCGGGCCAGCGGCUCCCUGCGAUGGGAGUCCCCGAGCUCCCCAGUCGGUAAAUAUCCGACGAUUGCCUCCUGGGAGCCACGCCCGGCAUCCACCCCUCUCCCCACCCUCCACGCCCCAGUCACGGUCAAUUUCCAGGCCUCCCCCAAGGCCCCCCACUCUCUGUCCUAAGCCCCGCCCUCCCGUGGGGCCGAGUUGAGGGCGCCACCAGCGCUCGUCGGAGUGAGUUUUCUGGUGGGGCCCAGGCUUCGUUGGAUCGCACGCACCCCGCCCACCCUUUCCGCAACUGUUCUGCCCGGCGCGCAGCCCCGGCGUCGGCCGCGCUGAGCGAGGCGCCCCCUGGCGGCAAGAAGCCGCGCGCGCUGGUCUCCCUGGUGGCUCCGGGCUGAUCCCUCCGACCUCCCGGUCCCCUCCGCCGCCCGACCACCCGGGCGCCCUCGCCCGCCUGUCCCACUCUUCCAUCUCCCACGGAGGUGGCUACCUUGUCCCCAGAGACGGUCCGAGAGGCGCUCGCGGCUUUCCUUAACUGGCCCGGGAGCGCCCUUGGCCCAGGCCCCCUCCACGUUCCCCAGCAGCGGGCCUGGUCCUCCCUGAAUAGAAACCACCGAUGCCGGGUAACCCCACCCCACUGCCGGGCUUCACUGGACGCUAGGCCCCUCGGAGGCCAGCGCUAUGGUUGAGAAAAGAAAAGAAAAAAACUCCAUCCAUCCACCUAAUUCAGGGGUGAAGGAAAACCGUAUUCAUCUGGAUUUUCAAAAAGAAAACGUCCCCGCUCAACAACCUCGUGUCCACCGCCCCUUGCCCGGAUCCUGUGAACCGAAAAGGCACAUAUUCCACGGCCUUCUCGCCGGUCACAUGAAUGUCCCCGAUGCUAUCUGUCUACAUCUCUGUGUGAAGCAGUUUCUCUCCCUCGAAAUCCCACCGGAAAGACGCGAUGGCGAGAGAUGACUCAUUCGAACAAGAAUCUGGAGAAAAACGCCCUGAGAGCGUUCAAAAACUCAGCAAGCUGCAUUUUAGCCGAAAAUCCUGGUGGAUUCUUAACCAUUAGCGCCACCUGGGAAGCCCAAGAGUUCAAUGAGACUUUAGCUAGUGAAGGUUUGAAAACUGGAUUUCACUUGGACUCAAGGAUGAGACUGGGGGCAGAGAUACUGUUACAAGGCCAGAUUCCCCUGUCAUAUGCUCUCAGAGGACCAUACACUUUCUCUUCAUGACGACUCAUCACUGUUAAAACUUCACGUUUAUUUGUGCAAUCAUCAGAUUGUCUUCCUUUUGCUGUGAGCUCCAUGGCUGUUUUCCUGUCCCUGAGUUGUUCUUAACAGUUAAUACAAUGGAUAACGGUUGAAUGGC
ensembl:lncRNA